rnacentral:rRNA from 1 species
UGGGGAAUAUUGCACAAUGGGCGCAAGCCUGAUGCAGCCAUGCCGCGUGUAUGAAGAAGGCCUUCGGGUUGUAAAGUACUUUCAGCGGGGAGGAAGGUGUUGAGGUUAAUAACCUCAGCAAUUGACGUUACCCGCAGAAGAAGCACCGGCUAACUCCGUGCCAGCAGCCGCGGUAAUAAGGAGGGUGCAAGCGUUAAUCGGAAUUACUGGGCGUAAAGCGCACGCAGGCGGUCUGUCAAGUCGGAUGUGAAAUCCCCGGGCUCAACCUGGGAACUGCAUUCGAAACUGGCAGGCUAGAGUCUUGUAGAGGGGGGUAGAAUUCCAGGUGUAGCGGUGAAAUGCGUAGAGAUCUGGAGGAAUACCGGUGGCGAAGGCGGCCCCCUGGACAAAGACUGACGCUCAGGUGCGAAAGCGUGGGGAGCAAACA